AUUGAACGCUGGCGGCAGGCCUAACACAUGCAAGUCGAACGGUAGCACAGAGAGCUUGCUCUCGGGUGACGAGUGGCGGACGGGUGAGUAAUGUCUGGGAAACUGCCCGAUGGAGGAGGAUAACUACUGGAAACGGUAGCUAAUACCGCAUAACGUCGCAAGACCAAAGUGGGGGACCUUCGGGCCUCACACCAUCGGAUGUGCCCAGAUGGGAUUAGCUAGUAGGUGGGGUAAUGGCUCACCUAGGCGACGAUCCCUAGCUGGUCUGAGAGGAUGACCAGCCAGACUGGAACUGAGACACGGUCCAGACUCCUACGGGAGGCAGCAGUGGGGAAUAUUGCACAAUGGGCGCAAGCCUGAUGCAGCCAUGCCGCGUGUAUGAAGAAGGCCUUCGGGUUGUAAAGUACUUUCAGCGGGGAGGAAGGCGGUGAAGUUAAUAGCUUCACCGAUUGACGUUACCCGCAGAAGAAGCACCGGCUAACUCCGUGCCAGCCGCCGCCGUAA
rnacentral:rRNA from 1 species